AAUUCUUGUAACAUGAUUAGAAGAGUUAUCAUUAAAAAAAAAAACAUUUUAGCUUAAUUGGUCUAUUAGUUAAAAAAGGCUAUUAUUUCAUUUCUUUGCAUCAGGUACCCAUGCCGAAAAGAGAGCCAGAAUUUAAUCAAACUUGCAAGUAACUUUUAUUUUAGGUUUUGCACUUCUAGUUCUAAUUAAUUAUAUUUCCAACACAAAAUUGGAGUUUCAUAUUUCAACUUACUCAUCAAUUUUGUUGUAUUCAUCAAGGUUUUCUGAAGGAAAUAAAAUAUUUUCUAAGUUAAAGAGGAUUUUGUGUGAUCAAGGUUUGAGUUAUCGAGAGUUGACCUUAUAUUUGAUUAUUAUUUAUUUUAUAAACACUUUUUAAUUAGUUUUCUAAAAUUUAAUUUUACAGUAAUUUUGUAAAGUUUUGUUUAUAAAAGAAAAAUUGUGUUCUUGUAAGUCCAGAGGUUCUAGUUGUAUAGAAGGGUUCUUAGCCUGAAUUAAUUAAAUAAAUCAUAAUAUACAUUAAUAUUUGUAAAAUUGUUAUAGUAAGUGUUUAAUAUAAUUAAUAUUAAAAAUAUUUAAUUUAUGAAUUCAAAGACAUAAUAAAAAGAAAAUAGUUCAAUUAAUUCAUGAAUUCAAUAUAUAGUAACAAAAAAUUACUUCAAAUAAACAAUUUUCAAACAACUUCUUAAAUGGAUGUUAAAAAUUUCUAGAUUAAAAAAAAUAUUAUUACUUACAUUCUCACAUUUUUGUAAUUUAUCUGGAAGUUCACUUCAAAUAAAGUUUAUAAAUAAAUCUUUUUGCAACUUAAAUGUAAGCUUACAUAUAUUUAACUAAUUCGGAUCACUGUCUAUUGAGAUGUAAUAUUUCAUAUAUCUCCAUGGAAAGAAACAUGUUUUUAAUAUUUGUAUAUAUUUUUUAUAUGGGUUUAUCACUCUUCUUGAUAAGUGACGUCACAAAUUCAUCCCAAAUCGAGCGUGCAUCAGACUGCAACACCUUCAACUUUGUCAAAGUCUUGUCUUUCACAAGUAAAUAUUUUUUUAGUUCAUAAUCAUUGAUUUCGAUGUCAAUAAACUUGGGUCUCCCCUGUUUGUAGAGUUUGAUAAGGUCUUCCAUCAUAUCGCCUGCCAUAUCCUGGUCCAGCUUUAAGCUGAGAUUGCUCAUUUCCAUACAAUAUAAAUUCAUGAAAUGCAUUGCCUCUUCGAUUCCCUUAAGACUAGGAUCUUCCAGUAUCGUGGAAAUUUGUUUUUCUAGACUACUGAACUCGGACAGUAUAUUAUUAGUCUGGCAAUAAAUGUGGAGAACAAAACAUGACAAAAUUGUGAUAUAUUUCAUAAUUUUUUUAAAUGUUUGUUGUUAUAAAUAAAAAUACUGAAUAAAGAUCUUAAUUUCACGAUUGUGUAUGUAUAACGAUUUUCAUGUCUUUUAAGUACUGUAACCAAUAAUUUUAUGCAGUAAAUAAAACCUGCUCUUGACCACUUAAAAAAAAAUAUUGUAUAGAAUAGAAAUAGAAUGAAAUUUGAGGAAUCUAUUCUUUCUACUGCUGUAAAAUAAAUUAUAAUAUCCAUUGUGUUACAUAAUAUAAUAUUACUGGAUCUGUCAAUUAGUAUCAGUCUAUUUAUAGCUUGUAUAUAUGACAAACUGCCAAAUUAUUUUUACCAGAUGAAUAGAAUAGAGUAGGUUAAUUAGAUGUGAUACAUCCCAAUAAAUACACUGCUAGUCAAAGUAUGUGUUAUAUUAAUAUUACAAUUCAAAAUUGUAAAAUCAGUUCAUGUUUUUGUUAACAAUUCUAACACUUUGUAUUAAGGACUAUUUAACAGGACAUUUUCAAAACUAGUUUUAAAACUUGUAUUAUUUAAUAGCUUAACUUCAUCAGAUAGUUUAUUCGUUAACUGUUGCGGGAAUUUUAUACAUUUUUGAACCAUUUUUUACAUUUUUAUUAACUCAAUCUCUUAUUUGUCUGUUAAGUACAAAUUCAGGGGUGUGUUUUUGGUGACUAUCCGUACAUCAACUAUCCAUUUUUUAUUUUUAGUGUAACAAGUAUUUUUGCAUCUAUUAAAAAAAUUCUUGCACUAUAAGUAUUAAAAGAUAUAAUUUUUUAAUUACAAAAUUUUAAAUUUUGUUUAAAGGACGUACAUUUGUUAGUCUAAAUAAACAGUGUUUACAUUUUUAAAUGCUACUUAGAUGACGGACGAUGUAAAAAAAUAAAAACAUAAAAAUGUAAUAAUUUAACUUCAGUUACAAAGGUGUAAUUGUGAACACAUGAGCUAAAUAUAAAUUCUACAGUACAUCUUAACUAACCUUCCCUUUUCCUGCCAGCAAUUUCACUACGUAACAAUAUAUACAGUAAGAUACUGUGUGUUCUUAUGAAUAGCAACUAAAUUAUAUAUUAUGACUAAUUAAAAAAUUAGUAGAGUAAUUUAAGAAUUUGACAGAAAUGUGAUUUACAAUAAAUUAAAUCAAAUUGUUUACUUACUGAAUCUAAAUAAUAGCAUUUAUGAUACACUUCAGUAAAUCAGUGAUGAUUUCUUUCUAAUUUAAUAAGAACAUAAUAUCAGUGGUGUAACUAGGAUUUGGCUUAUAGGAGGAGGAUGAAUCUGAUUGAAGAUCCCACCACAGCAGGGGUAUGUAAUAAAUCUGAAUAAGUGUAAAUUGGGAUAAAUUAGAUAAGCUUAUAUGUAAACAUUUAACUAUUGUAAUUCAAGCAAGCUGGAUUACUGUUAUACUAUUUUUUUAACUUGUACGGUUUAGUGGGGGGUUUUACCACCCUCAUCCACCACUUAGUUACGCCACUGGUAUGCAAUGCCACCUGCUGGGGAUUGAACAUACCAGUAUCAUUAAGAAUGAAACUGUUUCAGUUUUAUGCACUACAUUAUAUUAAAAUAUUAUAUCACAAUGUUGUAUAAAAAUUAAACAAACUAGUAGUAAAAUCCCUUGUGAAAAUAGAUUAUUAGUAUCACUAAAAUAGUUGUAAAAGUAACAAUUUUAUGAAUUUUUCCUAUGUCUAAAUCUUACUGAAGAAGGGAGUAUUAAAAACAGUUCAUUGAAAUAAUUUUCCCUAUAAUUAAUCUUCUGACAAUUUAGUUACAACUUGCAGAAAUGGAGUAGAGGUUAUGACGAAUUUAAUCAUUACCCUACAAAAUUAUAGACAGUAAAGAAAAAGAUGACGUUAAUCAGUCACAAAAAAGUCACAAUCUAUUCCUUAAAAAUAUCAGUAUUAUUUAUUUAAUUCACUGUGAAUAAUGUAUAGAAAACUGGUUCUGAAGAUGCAUAGUCAUCCAAAAACAAUUAAUCAAUAACAAAAUAUAAAAACAUAAGAAAAACAAUCCAUAUUUAAAAAAAUCAUAAUUUUGUAAAAAUUGAAGACUGACUGCGGCAGAUGCAGCUUACUACUAUCCUGGCUGUCCUAAAGUCAGUACAUGACUGGAGUCGCAAUGAGAGUGUUAAAAGAAAUACAGGUAUAUUAAAGGAAACAAUUAGGAAUAUGCUAAGUUGUGGAAUAUAAAUUACAUAAAUCACUGACUAUUAAUUUUGUGUUCAAUAUAAAGCUUAAUAUAAACUAAAAUUUUAUUGAAAUUUGUUUCCUUGUACUCUUAAGAAUCUAGUUUUUUUAAUUGUAGAGACAGCAAGAAUUUAAUUCCUUUCCUUUUAACUUCACUCUGAUGUUUGAUUAGCACUCUAUGAAAAUGUUUGCAUCUACUUCAAUAAAGUAAAGUAUCGAUGUGUGAGAUCUGGUGUGAUAAAUACUAGAACAUCAUCUGGUCUGGAAAAAUAUACAAAUUUUUUUAUUGAUUUUAUUGUUCCUGUUUAUUCCCCAUAGCAUUUAUGAAAGUGUUUAUGUAAGUAAAUAUUGGAAUGUAAUAACUUGUGAAGAUAUAAGUAAAUUGCUAUUAGUUAAACUUUUGUUUUUUUGAAAUUUGUUUUCCAGAUAUGAUUCUAUUGCAAACAAAUUUUUAUUAAUAUUGAUAGAUGUUGAAUACAUGUCAAAAUUAGUGUAUUUCAUUGUUCCAGGAAUUACAACAACUACCUUUACCAUCAGUAAUGAAACAAACUCAUUAUUUACUGAAUGAAAAAUAUAAUUUUAGAGAAUUGACAUUGAGGUGCCUAUACAUUUUCUUUAGUUAGUCAUACUACAAUAUUAGCCUUAUUAUAUAUUAUAUGGUAGGAUUUUGAAUAUAAUCAACAAAGUAUUCAUAUUAAAUUAUAUGGUAAAUAAUAUACAACAGUUUUGAGCAAUUUAUUAAAGAUACAAGGUGUCUUGGAAAACUUUAAAUAACACCUAAAAUUAAAAUUCGAAUAGUUACAAAACAAAACAAAAAACAAAAACACUUUGUUUGAAUUCAAAGUUAUUCUUAAUUUCGUUUGUUUUAGUUGUUUUGUGUAUAUAUAUUUUUUUACCCACACAACAAACAUUGUACUUUGGUAAUAAUCAGUGCUUGAAUUUUAGAAUUUUGUGAUGGAAUACAACUCUCAUGGUUCUAGGAGGUAUGGAAUAUCUCCUAUAAAGGGAGAUCUAGAGUUCCUCCUACAGAAAAUUUAGAAAAUAUGAAAUCUCAAAACAAUAUUAUUGAGUUUAAAAAGCAAGUUUCAUGCGCAAAAUAUCAGUACUGUUAGAGAGAGAUACUGGACCACCGUUCCAGUGUGUUCUUCUUCAGAUUACACACAGGAUAUUAUUAAUAAAUAUUACUAGCAGCUUAAUAGUUUGAGUUAUGCACUUUUUUGAUUCCAGAACUAAAAAGUAGCCUUUGAUUUAAUAGAUGUUACUAAAAUACUGUAAAAUAAACCAAAUUGACUGCCAUUGAUAUUGAAAUAUAUAAGUAAAUUUGAGUACAUUUUAGUUCUUUAUACUUUAGUUAAUUUACGCUGCUCGGGAUCAAUUACAGAAGUGAAAAUGUGUAUGUGUAAUACAGCUAUUAAAACAGCACUUUCCCUGCCUUAUCAUCCAAAAUUCUAGAACUUUCAACGUUUUGACAAAAAUACUUGAAUAUCUGUCUUGUUUUUUCUCGUAAUUUGAUAAACUGUCUCAGCUGAUCUUCAUUCCAUCCAAACUUAGUCUUCACUAUAAAAGCGUCAAAACGGUAAGUGACAAAUUUGGGUUCCCCUUUCCUGUAUAAAUGUUUGGAGUUUCUGAUACCAUCUUGUGUCCCUUUCCUCAAAUCUGAAAUAAGAUCCAUGACACGAUUGUUAUAUUCAUGAAUGUCCUCCAGGAGUUUAUCACCAUACAUGAACAAUGGCUCUAUCAACAUCUGAUGAAUCUUCUUGUCAGCCACUUGCAAUAUGUUGUAGUACUUCACUGUGUGCACUGAAUUCAAAAACAACAAAAAACACAAAAUGUAUGUGUUCAUUGAUUUUAUCGUGAUUAAAAUGCCAUUUUACAUUAUCUUGAAUUGAUUCUCCGUAAAAGCACAUUUUACUGCAGCAGAACACUUUUCAUUUCAUGUCAGCCACAUUUUGGUUAUAUAACAAAAAAUUUAGAAGACCUUUGACAACAGAGUAAUCACUAUUAUACAUUUUAAAUAUUUACAAAUAUUGAAAUACUGAUACGAUUCAAUUAAAAGUUUUAUGUUCCAUUAAGAAGUCAAUAAAAUUAAGAUAAUGGGAAAAUCUGAGAUUUUAAUGUUAAAAUCUUAAAUCUCUCUGUCGCUCUGUAAUUGAAAGAGUGUUGUUAUUAAUGCAGAAAUAGACAUCAGAUUUUUAAAAAAUUUUCAUUCACAACUGACAUCAAAUUGAUGCGUCAAUUCACAUGUAUUUGUGAAUAUAAAUUUCCAAGUUAGAUCUGGCUGUAGUAUCUGAAGAACUGAUCUUAUCAAUUAGAUGGAAUAUUGAUAUUGUUCAGAUUGUUGUUCAUAUUUCUUAGUGACUUUUUUAGGGACAUGAUUGAAAUCAUCAGCUUUAUAUAUUUUUGUUUGCAAAGUUCUAAAACUCAACUUUUUUGAUACUUUGUGUAAAGUGGUAAAAUAGUAAUACACCAUUGAAGAAUAAUUUGGAGGUGUCCACUAAUGCAAGUGAAAUUGGUGGUUUAAUGUGACUGUGACUAUGAAAUAAAAAAAUAAGAACAAAGAAGCACUUGCACAAUUUUAAUGACUACAGUGGUCUGGUUAAUAUUAAUUGUUGCCAUCAGAGUCUUGCACCUUCUGUGUGACAGCUUCUUGAAUUAUAUUUCAUUAUGUACAAUCCAUGACAUCAGACAAAAGGAAAUGUUGUUAGCUCUAAUUUAUCCUUUAUAGUAAUCUCAGUUUGGUUAAUUAAUAUAUAAUUUUAACUUGAUGACCUUGCUCAAGGAACCUUGAACUUGUUUUCUAUUUGCAAUUACGCGAAAUAUCAUACUAUUAUCUGUAUACGUCACCUUAACGUCACUUCGCUUAAGAUUACAGAUAAGAUUGUGAUUGUCAUAAGAAACAAAGCCACAAAAGAAUAAUUAGAAAGAUAUGUAAACAUGUUCAUUAAGAUAUUUUAUAUUGUCUGUGCAUUUGGACUUUCUCGGUGGUGCAUAGGAUUUGAUGUGAGGAGAGUACAGGAAUUAAACAAGGAUAUUCUGCAUCUAGCUGACCACGUAGUACAAAGGUCAGAUUGUGACGAAUUAAUAGCUCAAGUUCGAAUGUUUAUUGGAGGUUUGCAUUUAACCAUGCUGAAAAUACUUCAUUCUUACAACAAAACAGAGAGCUUGUCGGUUGGGAAGUACAUAUUUGAAAGUGGGAAACCUAGAUUUUUAAAUAAAAGUUAUAGCGUAGAAGAAUUAGAAGAAAGUUGCGGGUGGGAUUUACCUGAUGUGAGUUAUUUCAAAAAGGUAAUGAAAGAUGCAAACAGUACAUGGACAAGAUUUGUUGAUGCUUAUAACCAAAAUAAAGACAAACCAGUGAUUCCAUUUGAUUUUCAACAAUGUUUAGUUUCACAUUAAUUCUAAGUUGAAAUAUUAUAUUCAUUUUGUGUAAAGUUAUGUAUGUUACAUGUAUCUUUUCAUGAUGUAGACACAUUUUUAUUGUGAUGGCCCAGUGUUUUGUUAGUUUGUAAAGCUGUUCUUUAUGCAUUUGGAUUUAAUGUUAGCAUAGCAUUAAUUACUACAAAACAGUUGUUUGUUAUUGUUGCAGUCUACUACAUCUUUUAUUUAUCAAAUAUCAUUAUAUCUAGCUUUAGAAUACUGUGUUAUAAUCUACUGCGAAUACCAGAUGGUACAAUAAAUAGUAUGGGGCUAUGUAAUAUAUUGAGGUUGUGUAAGAUCCCUUCUUGAACAAGUUAAUAAAGCUCUGUGAUAUAUUUAUGUAAAAUUAUGACAUUGUUAAUUAUGCUAAACUUUUAAAAAACUACAACAUAACAACAUAAGAAUAGAGUAAAUAUUCAUUACUCGAUUGAGUAAGGUAUUAGUAUUUGAUUUAUGUUGAGAUAGCGAUGAUCAAGAUACUGAUAUUCAUAUUUUCGUUGAAAUUUACUCUAAGUUUUAAUGUGACCGAUGUUAAAAUGCUGAACAAUAAUAUUUUGGAACUAAUGACUCAUGGGAGUAAAAGAAAUGAAAGUGUACAGAUGAUACGAAUGAUUGCAUUGUAUUCUGGUGGUAUGUGUGGAAAUAGGUUGUGUAUAGAACAGCCUAACACAGAAGAUCACGUGUGGAAGACCUGUAAAGAUAUCUAUGAAUUUGGUAAACCGGAUUUUCUAGACUUUGAUUUUGACUGGGAAAAGAAAAGUGCUCAAUUUAACUGGAAUGAAGAAGAUAAAAUAUUUUUCAAUAAUAUAAGAAGUGAUGCAAAUAGUGCAUGGAAUGAGUUUGAAAAAACAUUUAAAAAAUUAAAAAGUCUACAUUCAAACUAAGAUUAACAACUUGUAUGGUAUAAUUUGCAUCAAAUAUGUUCAUAUAUUUUAAAGAAAUUA
rnacentral:lncRNA from 1 species